rnacentral:tRNA from 1 species
GCCCGAAUAAUUCAGAUGGAUAGAAUGCGGUCCUUCUAAGACUGACGUCGGGGGUUCAAGUCCCUCUUCGGGUG